GUCAUUAUGGUGGAAUUGGUAGUCACAAUACACUUAAAAUGUAUUGCUUUAUAGCGUAUAAGUUCGAGUCUUAUUAAUGACA
rnacentral:tRNA from 2 species